GAGCCCGCACAAGCAGUGGAGUAUGUGGUUUAAUUCGACGCAACGCGAAGAACCUUACCAGGAUUUGACAUCCAGAGAACCCGGCGUAAUGGCUGGGGUGCCCCUUCGGGGGAAUUCUGAGACAGGUGGUGCAUGGUUGUCGUCAGCUCGUGUCGUGAGAUGUUGGGUUAAGUCCCGCAACGAGCGCAACCCUUACUGUCAGUUGCUACGCAAGAGCACUCUGACGGGACUGCCGUUGACAAAACGGAGGAAGGUGGGGAUGACGUCAAAUCAUCAUGCCCCUUACAUUCUGGGCUACACACGUACUACAAUGGCGAAAACAAAGGGGAGCGAAGCCGCGAGGUGGAGCAAAUCCCAUAAAAAUCGUCCCAGUUCAGAUCGCAGGCUGCAACCCGCCUGCGUGAAGUUGGAAUUGCUAGUAAUCGCGGAUCAGCAUGCCGCGGUGAAUACGUUCCCGGGCUUU
rnacentral:rRNA from 1 species